AGCAGCCGCGGUAAUUCCAGCUCCAAUAGCGUAUAUUGAAGUUGCUGCAGUUAAAAAGCUCGUAGUUGAAUUUCGGGACCAUCAUGUCGGUCGUGCCUCGGUACGUACUGGUAUUGUUGGUUUCUCCCUUCUGACGAACCAUGAUGUCAUUUAUUUGGUGUUGUGGGGAAUCAGGACUGUUACUUUGAAAAAAUUAGAGUGUUUAAAGCAGGCUCACGCUUGAAUACAUUAGCAUGGAAUAAUGAAAUAGGACGUUUGAUUCUAUUUUGUUGGUUUCUAGGAUCGACGUAAUGAUUAAUAGGGAUAGUUGGGGGCAUUAGUAUUCAAUUGUCAGAGGUGAAAUUCUUGGAUUUAUUGAAGACUAACUACUGCGAAAGCAUUUGCCAAGGAUGUUUUCAUUAAUCAAGAACGAAAGUUAGGGGAUCGAAGACGAUCAGAUACCGUCGUAGUCUUAACCAUAAACUAUGCCGACUAGGGAUCGGAUGAUGUUAAUUUUUUAAUGACUCA
rnacentral:rRNA from 1 species